UGCGACGUCGCCAAGUGGUAAGGCAUCGGCCUUUGGAGUCGACAUCCCGCAGGUCCGAAUCCUGCCGUCGCAA
rnacentral:tRNA from 1 species